CAUUUUCAUCUUUGUGUCCUUAGUACCUACCAUGGUUCUUCGCACCUAAUGGAAUUUCAGUCCUGUGCCAUGGAAGCCUUGAAUUCCAGUGCCCGUUACUUCUUCUGCUGCCAGUGGCUCCCAUUUGUGUUCUCUCCUGUGGCAUCGGAUUCGAUGCAGAAAUGGGAUACCUGUGUACUCAUCAGCUCCUAUUCCUCCAGCUCAACCAAAGUUCUUUUAACAGUAAAAACCAAUAUGCAAAGAAGAGGAGGAAGAGAUGGAACCAUCAAGCCCUUCUGGGCUCAGAAUAUGUGUGUGUGAGCGCACAUACACAGGUGCAUGCAGCUUUGCAAUAUAAGAUUAAACUGUACAAUGUUCUAUAAUCUCCAUUUUUCCAUUCACUAUAUUAUGAACAUCUUCCAAAUCACCAUAUAGUUUUGUAUAACACACAUUUUGAUGACUGAACAGUAAUGUAUUCUCCACAAUUUGUAUUACCAAAUCUUUACUGAUGGACACAAGUUAUUUAGAGUUUUGAUCAUUAAAAACAUAGCUUUAAUAAACAUUCAUAUAUCUUUGCA
ensembl:lncRNA LINC00392 long intergenic non-protein coding RNA 392